GCUAACGGCCAUACCAAAAAAGGCACGCCCGAUCUCGUCUGAUCUCGGAAGCUAAGCAGGGUCGGGCCUGGUUAGUACUUGGAUGGGUGACCGCCUGGGAAUACCAGGUGCUGUAAGCA
ensembl:rRNA 5S_rRNA 5S ribosomal RNA